rnacentral:rRNA from 1 species
ACGAACGCUGGCGGCGUGCCUAAUACAUGCAAGUCGAGCGAAUCUUUGGGAGCUUGCUCCCAUUGGUUAGCGGCGGACGGGUGAGUAACACGUGGGCAACCUGCCUGUAAGACUGGGAUAACACCGGGAAACCGGUGCUAAUACCGGAUAAUCCUUUCCUCUCAUGAGGGAAAGCUGAAAGACGGUUUCGGCUGUCACUUACAGAUGGGCCCGCGGCGCAUUAGCUAGUUGGUGAGGGAACGGCUCACCAAGGCGACGAUGCGUAGCCGACCUGAGAGGGUGAUCGGCCACACUGGGACUGAGACACGGCCCAGACUCCUACGGGAGGCAGCAGUAGGGAAUCUUCCGCAAUGGACGAAAGUCUGACGGAGCAACGCCGCGUGAGCGAUGAAGGCCUUCGGGUCGUAAAGCUCUGUUGUUAGGGAAGAACAAGUACCGGAGUAACUGCCGGUACCUUGACGGUACCUAACCAGAAAGCCACGGCUAACUACGUGCCAGCAGCCGCGGUAAUACGUAGGUGGCAAGCGUUGUCCGGAAUUAUUGGGCGUAAAGCGCGCGCAGGCGGUCCUUUAAGUCUGAUGUGAAAGCCCACGGCUCAACCGUGGAGGGUCAUUGGAAACUGGGGGACUUGAGUGCAGAAGAGGAAAGCGGAUUCCACGUGUAGCGGUGAAAUGCGUAGAGAUGUGGAGGAACACCAGUGGCGAAGGCGGCUUUCUGGUCUGUAACUGACGCUGAGGCGCGAAAGCGUGGGGAGCAAACAGGAUAGAUACCCUGGUAGCCACGCCGUAAACGAUGAGUGCUAAGUGUUAGAGGGUUUCCGCCCUUUAGUGCUGCAGCUAACGCAUUAAGCACUCCGCCUGGGGAGUACGGCCGCAAGGCUGAAACUCAAAGGAAUUGACGGGGGCCCGCACAAGCGGUGGAGCAUGUGGUUUAAUUCGAAGCAACGCGAAGAACCUUACCAGGUCUUGACAUCCUCUGACACUCCUAGAGAUAGGACUUUCCCCUUCGGGGGACAGAGUGACAGGUGGUGCAUGGUUGUCGUCAGCUCGUGUCGUGAGGUGUUGGGUUAAGUCCCGCAACGAGCGCAACCCUUGAUCUUAGUUGCCAGCAUUCAGUUGGGCACUCUAAGAUGACUGCCGGUGACAAACCGGAGGAAGGUGGGGAUGACGUCAAAUCAUCAUGCCCUUAUGACCUGGGCUACACACGUGCUACAAUGGAUGGUACAAAGGGUCGCGAUGCCGCAAGGCUCAGCCAAUCCCAUAAAACCAUUCUCAGUUCGGAUUGUAGGCUGCAACUCGCCUACAUGAAGCCGGAAUCGCUAGUAAUCGCGGAUCAGCAUGCCGCGGUGAAUACGUUCCCGGCCUUGUACACACCGCCCGUCACACCACGAGAGUUUGUAACACCCGAAGUCGGCGGGGUAACCGUAAGGAGCCAGCCGCCUAAGGUGGGACAGAUGAUUGGGGUG